CCGUUUCCGGUGCGGGCCGCGAAACCCGGAAGUGAUCACCGAACUCUGCCACGGCUCCGUGGUCUGAGUUCUCAGCCGUUGCUUUUUCGUGCUGGUUAGUCACACCGCCGCCGCGCCGCCAUGGGGAAGCGACAGCACCAGAAGGACAAGAUGUACAUUACCUGUGCUGAAUACACUCACUUUUAUGGUGGCAAGAAGCCAGAUCUCCCACAAACAAAUUUCCGUCGUUUACCUUUUGACCACUGCAGGUAAGAGUUUUGCGAGUUUACCCUUCCUUGUAAUUGUUCUCUCAUACUGUCUGAUAGUGAAUCUGCCCCCGAUGAUGUAGAUGACAUGCUAUUGGUUACCCCACGUGGAUCCUCCCUGAAUGGGGAGAAGGAGAACCCACCCAUGAUGAUGGCUAGUGGGCGUUUUCUGUUUAUUGUGUGUGUAUUUACAUGCUGUAUCUUUUUUUUUUUCUUUUCAGUCAUCUUGACUACAUCCUGUAUCUUUUUAACCUCAUUCUUACCUUUCAGGGUGUGUAGACUCUGUGUUAAGCCUGUUUUAUGGUUGGAGAACCAUUGUUUAGAAGAGCAAAGUACCUUGCCCAGGUGUGCCAUGCAGGAAGUGGUGCCUCUGAGUCUUGAACUCAGUGGUCUGACUGUGGGUCCAUGCCUUUAAUGCUUUACUUUUUUUACUUUUACUUUUUUUUUUUUUGAGAGAGAGAGUCUCUUG